CCAGAAAUUUUGGUAACAGCUAUUAAAAAUGCUUAUAAUAUUGACUAUUGGGAGAUUCAAGCGUCAGUUAGAGCUAUUCUUCAGCUAGGCCAACAAUUUCAGUUUGUCUAAUUUUCUCAUAUCAAAAGACGAGGAAAUGGUUUUGCUCACUGCCUUGCAAAGUUAAAACUAAAAAAUCAGCUCCCUUGUAAUUGGAUAGUUGCGAUCCCUUCCAUUCUCUCCCGUUCUCUUGCUUUUGAUGCCCAAAGGGCUGUGUAAUGCUUUUAUUAGCAAUUAAAAAAAAAAGUUGGUC
rnacentral:misc_RNA from 1 species